rnacentral:rRNA from 1 species
AGAGCGAACGCUGGCGGCAUGCUUAACACAUGCAAGUCGCACGAAGGUUUCGGCCUUAGUGGCGGACGGGUGAGUAACACGUAGGAAUCUAUCCAUGGGUGGGGGAUAACGGCGGGAAACUGCUGCUAAUACCGCAUGACACCUGAGGGUCAAAGGCGCGAGUCGCCUGUGGAGGAGCCUUCGUCCGAUUAGCUAGUUGGUGAGGUAAAGGCUCACCAAGGCGAUGAUCGGUAGCUGGUCUGAGAGGAUGAUCAGCCACAUUGGGACUGAGACACGGCCCAAACUCCUACGGGAGGCAGCAGUGGGGAAUAUUGGACAAUGGGCGAAAGCCUGAUCCAGCAAUGCCGCGUGGAUGAAGAAGGCCCUCGGGUUGUAAAGCACUUUUAUCAGGAACGAAAUACCACGGGUUAAUACCCUAUGGGGCUGACGGUACCUGAGGAAUAAGCACCGGCUAACUUCGUGCCAGCAGCCGC